GAUGAACGCUGGCGGCGUGCCUUAGGCAUGCAAGUCGAGCGAGAUCUUCGGGUCUAGUGGCGCACGGGUGCGUAACGCGUGGGAAUCUGCCCUUUGGUUCGGAAUAACAGUUGGAAACGACUGCUAAUACCGGAUGAUGACGAAAGUCCAAAGAUUUAUCGCCAGAGGAUGAGCCCGCGUAGGAUUAGCUAGUUGGUGUGGUAAAGGCGCACCAAGGCGACGAUCCUUAGCUGGUCUGAGAGGAUGAUCAGGCACACUGGGACUGAGACACGGCCCAGACUCCUACGGGAGGCAGCAGUGGGGAAUAUUGGGCAAUGGGCGAAAGCCUGAUCAAGCAAUGCCGCGUGAGUGAUGAAGGCCUUAGGGUUGUAAAGCGCUUUUACCCGGGAUGAUGAUGACAGUACCGGGAGAAUAAGCUCCGGCUAACUCCGUGCCAGCCGCCGCCGUAA
rnacentral:rRNA from 1 species